GACGAACGCUGGCGGCGUGCCUAACACAUGCAAGUCGAGCGGAGACAGUGAGUAGCUUGCUAUGAGCUGUUUUAGCGGCGGACGGGUGAGUAACGCGUGAGCAACCUUUCCCAGACAGGGGAAUAACACACCGAAAGGUGUACUAAUACCGCAUAGGACCACGGGAUCACAUGGUUCUGGGGUAAAAGAAUUAUCGGUUUGGGGUGGGCUCGCGUCCGAUUAGGUAGUUGGUGAGGUAACGGCCCACCAAGCCGACGAUCGGUAGCCGACCUGAGAGGGUGAUCGGCCACAUUGGGACUGAGACACGGCCCAAACUCCUACGGGAGGCAGCAGUGGGGAAUAUUGGGCAAUGGAGGAAACUCUGACCCAGCAACGCCGCGUGGAGGAAGAAGGUUUUCGGAUCGUAAACUCCUGUCCUUGGAGACGAGU
rnacentral:rRNA from 1 species